UGGGUCCCAGCUCCAAAAUGUCUCAUUAUCUGUAUUUGAAUAUCCCCAAAUUUGAAAAAUUCAAAAUCUGAAACACUUCUGAUCCCAAGCAUUUCAGACUCCUAAGAGUUAAUACGAAGUAGAAAGAGAAGUUGGAGUUAAGCAGCUCGUUCCAGUUCUGAUUUUGCCAUUUCCUGUCUGAGUGACCUGAGUAAGUUAUUUAAACUUCUUUGGCCCUAACUGUCUUCAUCAGGAAAAGAGGCUGUGGUAAGAGUUAAAGAUGGUAAAAUGACAAAAUGCCCAACAUAAGGCCUGGAUGAUUAUCUUCAAGAUAGACCUUCAAGAAAGGUUACUCCCAUUCUCCACCAGCCUGCUGAAGGUUUAUUGCAUAAAAGUGGUCUACUUGGCAGUUUCUACCUUGUGUUAGAAGCCCCC
rnacentral:lncRNA from 1 species